GCGCACACUUAAUGCAACAAUCAAGUAAUUACACAAGCUCCAUUUAUACACAGUGUUUAGUUAAGCUCGUAGUGUAAAAAGUAUUUUAACGGAUAUAGUAAGCCGGGCGAUAGUCCUACGGUUUGUCGAAAAGCCGAAUUAUCCAAAGUUUACGCGGAACGAUAAAAACACCAGACAGCUUUCGACGGUAAUCGAGUAAAACGUUUUGACAAUGGGACGAGCGGGAAUCGGGUGAUUACGGGGUGUAUUUGGAUAAGGGGUGUUGAAAAGAAGCGUACCGUCAAGGUAACUGCGGUAGGCAGAGCCCCCCUUCACCAUGCCAGUCUGCAUCAUCAUCAUCCCCACAUCUGGAAAAAGCCGGUCACGAUCAACGUUCGGACGUUAUGUCGGAUAACUAUUUUACAAAAAGUAGGUACUUUGUCCCAAUUACUUUCGGACAGGUGAGGGAUGAAUAUAAUUCACGGAAGUCUUGGGUGAGACGGAACGAUAAAUGUUGUAUUAAUUACACUUGAAAUUCAUGUAUGUAUUAUCAACUGUCUGAAGUAGGGUUGUUCCAGUUUUUUAACUUUUCUUUUUUCUCAACGUACCGAUCGAAAAAUU
rnacentral:lncRNA from 1 species